GCUGGUGCUGCGGUUUAGGGCGCCCCGUGGCCCCAGGACGGGCGGCGUCCGGGACUCCGGGGGUCGGGGCGCCGCAGCCCUGCCCUCCAGCUGCGCCCAGGCGUCGGAACGGGCGGCGCGCAACCUGGAGGAAGUCGCGCACUUUGGCGGACCGUGAAAUCUCUCCGUGUGAGCCAGAAGGUGACAAGCUGUCAAAUGUACUCCCGAGCGUGGAGGAAGACUUCCUCUGCUGAAUAAGUGUUCAAAAGCCAGAGAGAGGUAUGUAAAGAGUGAUUUCUAAGUCUAUUCCGGGUUCAUUGUUCCGUGUCCCGGUGAUCUGGAGUAUGAAGUGUGUCAUCUAAACAGCAAUAAACCAAUUUUAGCAAAUAACA